AGGUGGACCAGUGAGGCACAUCUGGGCAGUGCUCUGUUCACAUCUGGCCUGUACCUGCUCUCAUCCUGCCUUCACAGGUGCUUAGGAGAACACGCAGUAGAACCUUUCAUCAAACAAAUGGAACACAUCACAGGAUUUUGCUAACAUGGACAACUCUGCACAGAAAAAUGAACGCACUGGCAAACAUCCCAGACGUGCCAGUGAAGUACAGAAAGGUACAUGUGUCUUUGCAGGGAGGAGAUAGCUCCUGACAUAUGCUUAUUUUAGUACAUAAGAGCAAAUUUGGGGGGAAUAGUAAGUCCUGGGUUAUAUCCACAGGGCCAUCCUUACAGGCAUACCAGAUAGAUGGCUUUAGGCCCUACUGUUUCAAGUGUGACGAUUGGGAAGAAACUGAGAAGAAAGGAUGAGAGAAGAAGGAGGAAAUCUGUUAAAAAAUAAAAAACUAAUAAACAAAA
rnacentral:sRNA from 1 species